UGAAGAAUUGCAGGUGACAACUAUUUGUAGAUUGGACCAUAAUAAAUAUUGAACCAUCUUAGAAACGUCAUUUGCUUCCAAUACUAGUUGAUCCAUUACAAUAUCCACUUGUCCAAGACCAAGAAUUGUGUCAUUUGUUUUGAUACACUUUUUUUGUUUUCGUUUUCAAUCUGGCGUCCGAUACCCGCACUAUAGCCCAUUAAUCCGGAUUAACGCCGGGUAGAACUCCAUUCGGGGGUAGCGCUCUCUACCAAGGAUUUUUCCAUACCCAGGGCUCGAACCCGAGACCUCUGAUUAAGGAAGGAGCAACUCCAUUCACUGCACCACAUCCUUUAGUGAUAUUUUGAUACACUUGUAACUGCUAUAGCAAAUACCAAAUACCUAAUAUUAACAUAUUUUCUUUUCCAUUACAAUUUUCCUCCUCCAACACUUGUGGUAUGAACGAAGUGAUGGCCAGUCAAGAACUCUCCAUUCAGAAGAUAAAAGUUGACGAGGAUGUUGCCGUGAAUGUGUUGGUAUACAAUCGGAUUAAAAAUAAGGAUAUCCGAAACAAGGCGAAAGUAGCUUCGAUGGAGGACAAAAGCAAGAUGCAAGCAUGAGAUGGUUCGAGCAUGUGAAAAGGAGAUGACAGAUGUCCCGAUGCAGAGAUGUGAGAGGUUGAUUAUGAAUAGAGUUGGGUAGAAGUGAUUAAACAGGACAUGACGUUGUAUGAGCCCAAAGAGGACACAACUUUAGAUAGUAGGCCGCAGAGGACACGAUUUAGGAUAGAAAUUUAAUAGGUAGUAGAGCAUCGUCAUGCUUAUCCUUUCACACGAGUGCAGUGGUAUUUCCUGUGUUAUGUUACUCUCGACCGUCUCUUGUACUUCAAUUAUCCCAUUUUGCUGUGAUUUCUUUUUCGAUCUAUUUUGAUAUAUUUUUCUUUGAAUGGAGGCUCUCUACCUCCCAAUAUAACUCAAGGACACAACAGUAUGAGCCUAUAUAACAGAUCCACUACAAGUAAGGCUAUCUCAACUUCAAAUAGUAAGACCAGCAAAUCUAUUUAUUAUUAAUAAGAGAGGAUAAAGCCCCCGCAAUAAGCAAAGUAUCAUCCUUAUAAAAAGCCACUUGGCAUGUUAAUACAAGAAAUUAGUUAGGUUUAGUUAGUAGUUGUAAUUUUUAAAUUAAUUUGUACAUUAUUCUUGGGAGAAUGUGGAGAUUCUUUUAAGAGUUUUCUCUCACUUAUUUAUUAAUAGAUAAUUAUUAUUAUUCUAUUUUAAACUUUAAAAAUGGGGAAGUUAUCAAGUCAGUUUCACCUUCUCAACAAAAAAAAAUAUCAGUUUUAAAAAAUGAUGAAGACACCAUAUCUCUCUGUUGAGCUAAUAAUUUGUAGCACUAUCCCUCUAAAUGGGUGGUUUUGUAUUGAUUUUCUCUAAUUGACCUUUCAAAUUUCUAUAUCUUUUCUGAAUAACUUUUGCAUUAUAAUAGAAACUGCACCUUUCAAAAGACAUCCACCACAGAUCAAUUGUAAUUAGUAAACAAUAGGUUAACUGCUACAGACAUUUUAAUAUUAAAAUAUCACGGAUUCUCAUUCGUUUGAAGAAAUUAGCAAGUGAGAAAAAUCAUGUUACAAUUUAUAAAGGCUUGCAAAUACUCUCUUGCUUCACUUGGCGGUUAUCGAUGAGUUUAUAUUAAUUUACAUAAUAUUUUGAGUACGGAAAUCGAGGUUUCUUUUUCGGUAUCAUCAAAAUUUAAUACAUCUGCGAAAAAUUGGCAUCACAAGGUUGGGAAGUAGUAGUUCACAUCAGAGCAAGUUAAAUGAUGCUAAUUGUCAAAGUCUAAGUUAUAGGUAUAAGUUAGUAACAAAUGAACAAGUUGGUGAUGGAAGGCACCUUUUGACAGCCCUAGCAGGACUUGUAUUAGCAGAGUCUUGCUCAGCAUUAAAGUGUAGCUCAGCAAAAAAUAUAGCUUGGAUUACCUUCAGUACAGAAAGCUCAAGUAAUCUUCAAUAGCUUUUUUCUUGGUCAUUUUGUUAGUUAGUGUAAUUUACUUUGUCAUUGUGUUAGUUGAUAUAAGUCUAUGUUAAUUAAUGUAAAUUCUACAGAGAUAA